UUAUGUGAUCGUCUCUCGCAUAUCAAUAAGCGGAGGAAAAGAAACUAACAAGGAUUCCCCUAGUAACGGCGAGUGGAGCGGGAAGAGCUCAAAUUUGAAAUCUUAAAGGGUUUCCCUUUACGAAUUGUAGUUUAAAGAAGUGUUUUCUGUUGAGGUUUUGGUAAAAGUUCUUUGGAAUAGGACAUCAUAGAGGGUGAGAAUCCCGUAUUUGACCUUUACUUUCAACUUUGUGAUACACUUUCAAAGAGUCGGAUUGUUUGGGAAUGCAGUCCAAAAUGGGUGGUAAAUUUCAUCUAAAGCUAAAUAUUGGCGAGAGACCGAUAGCGAACAAGUACCGUGAGGGAAAGAUGAAAAGAACUUUGAAAAGAGAGUUAAACAGUACGUGAAAUUGUCAAAAGGGAAGCGUUUGACACCAGUGUUGUUUUUCUGAAAAUCAAUUAAAGAACUGUUUAUGCUAAGCUGUUUAGACUUUAUCAGCUAUCUGUUUAGUUUUGAGCUUUUCUUUAAUGCACUUUUCAGUUAACAAGUCAACAUCAAUUUCUUUUGCUGUAAAAAAGCUUGAGGAAGGUGGCUUGAGAUUCGUCUUAAGUGUUUAUAGCCUCUUGCCUAUGCAGUCGGAGAGAUUGAGGUCUGCAGCGUAGAUCCUUCGGGGCUAAAUGCAUUUGUGCUAAGUUAUAGCAUUUUAUAGACAACUUGUUGACUAUGAUUUGUCUUGUAGCUUACUCGCUUAUGUUAUUUUACCUACGCUUAGGAUGUUGAUCUGUAGUGCGUGCGC
rnacentral:rRNA from 1 species